rnacentral:rRNA from 1 species
GAGUUUGAUCGUGGCUCAGAUUGAACGCUGGCGGCAUGCCUUACACAUGCAAGUCGAACGACGCUAGGGGCAACUCUAGUGAGUGGCGAACGGGUGAGUAAUACAUCGGAACGUGUCCUGUCGUGGGGGAUAACCAGUCGAAAGACUGGCUAAUACCGCAUGACCUCGCAAGAGAAAAGCGGAGGACCGCAAGGCUUCGCGCGAUUGGAGCGGCCGAUGUCGGAUUAGCUAGUUGGCGGGGUAAUGGCCCACCAAGGCGACGAUCCGUAGCUGGUUUGAGAGAACGACCAGCCACACUGGGACUGAGACACGGCCCAGACUCCUACGGGAGGCAGCAGUGGGGAAUUUUGGGCAAUGGGGGAAACCCUGACCCAGCAACGCCGCGUGAAGGAUGAAGUAUUUCGGUAUGUAAACUUCGAAAGAAUAGGAAGAAUUAAUGACGGUACUAUUUAUAAGGUCCGGCUAACUACGUGCCAGCCGCCGCGGUAAG